rnacentral:misc_RNA from 1 species
UCUCCGUAGGUGAACCUGCGGAGGGAUCAUUACAGAGUUCUCGCCCCUCCGGGUAGAACUCCCAACCACUGUGAUUGAUACUGUGUUGCUUUGGCGGGCCGCCCGGCCCCGCCCGUCCGCCGGCUCCGGCCGGCGCGCGCCCGCCACAGGUUCCGCAAACUCUGAAUGUCAGUGUCGUCUGAGUACUAUAUAAUAGUUAAAACUUUCAACAACGGAUCUCUUGGUUCUG